rnacentral:SRP_RNA from 1 species
GCCGGGUGCGGUGGUGUGUGCCUGUAGUCCCAGCUACUCAGGAGGUUGAGGUGGGAGGAUCGCUUGAGUCCAGGAGUUCUGGGCUGUGGUGUGCUAUGCCGAUCGGGUGUCCGCACUGAGUUCAGCAUCAAUGUGGUGACCCCUUGGGAGUGGGGGACCACCAGGUUGCCUAAGGAGGGGUGAACCUUAGUAGGUUCAAAACUCUGUGCUGCUCAGUAGUGGGAUCCCGCCUGUGAAUAGCCACUGCACUCCAGACUGGGCAACAAAGUGAGACCCCAUCUCA